rnacentral:RNase_P_RNA from 1 species
UAAGCAGACCUUUCUUAUCGACUUAAACUAGAUUUAAGUAGGAAAGUCCGGACACCAUAGAGUAGUAUAGCGGAUAACAUCCGUCCGGUGAAAACCGAGGACAAGUGCAACAGAAAGUAUGUACAGGUAAUGCUGUAGUGAAAUCAGGUAAACUCUAUACGGUGCAAUGCCACGUAUAUUAGAGCUUGAGUGUGCUCGCACGAUUCUAAGGGGUAGGCAGAUUGAAAUUGAAAGUAAUUUCAAUUCUAGAUAAAUGAUAAGACUUCAAUUUAUUGAAGAACAGAAUCCGGCUUACUGGUCUGCUUUUUUC